rnacentral:rRNA from 1 species
CCUCCACAAUGCACGAAAGUGUGAUGGGGUUACCCCGAGUGCCUUCCGUUGAGGAGGGCUUUUAACUGGUGUAAGAAGCCAGUAGAAUAAGGGGGGGGCAAGAUUGGUGUCAGCCGCCGCGGUAAUACCAACCCCCCGAGUGGUAGGGACAAUUAUUGGGCUUAAAGCGUUCGUAGCCGGCUUGGAUAGUCUUCCGUUAAAUCCAGCGACUAAUCGUUGGGCUGCGGAAGAUACUUUCAAGCUAGGAGGCGGAAGAGGUCGGCGGUAUUCCUAGGGGAGGGGUGAAAUCCUAUAAUCCUAGGAGGACCACCAGUGGCGAAGGCGGCCGACCAGUACGCGCUCGACGGUGAGGGACGAAAGCUGGGGGAGCGAACCGGAUUAGAUACCCGGGUAGUCCCAGCCGUAAACGAUGCAGGCUAGGUGUCGGGGUGGCUACGUGCCGCUUCGGUGCCGCAGGGAAACCGUUAAGCCUGCCGCCUGGGGAGUACGACCGCAAGGUUGAAA